UUAUUAAAUUUGAGCUCAGUCAAAUAUGGUCCAGAGUGGCGGCAGCAUCCCGGGCAUGCAAACGUAUUUAAUAAUAAUAUUAUGUUGAAUACAUUAAACAACGUCGCCGCAUGGCGUUUAAACAAGAGCGCAGCACGUUUACACAACUUAAAA